rnacentral:rRNA from 1 species
UACAGAGGGGGCAAGCGUUGUUCGGAAUUACUGGGCGUAAAGGGCGCGUAGGCGGCCUUCUAAGUCGAACGUGAAAUCCCCGGGCUCAACCCGGGAACUGCGUCCGAUACUGGAAGGCUUGAAUCCGGGAGAGGGAUGCGGAAUUCCGAGGUGUAGCGGUGAAAUGCGUAGAUAUCUGGAGGAACACCGGUGGCGAAGGCGGCGAGUCCUGGACCGGCAUUGACGCGUGACGGCGCGAAAGCCAGGGGAGCAAGCGGG